rnacentral:rRNA from 1 species
AUUGAACGCUGGCGGCAGGCCUAACACAUGCAAGUCGAGCGGAUGAAGGGAGCUUGCUCCUGGAUUCAGCGGCGGACGGGGGAGUAAUGCCUAGGAAUCUGCCUGGUAGUGGGGGAUAACGUCCGGAAACGGGCGCUAAUACCGCAUACGUCCUGGGGGAGAAAGGGGGGGGUCUUCGGACCUCACGCUAUCAGAUGAGCCUAGGUCGGAUUAGCUAGUUGGUGGGGUAAAGGCCUACCAAGGCGACGAUCCGUAACUGGUCUGAGAGGAUGAUCAGUCACACUGGAACUGAGACACGGUCCAGACUCCUACGGGAGGCAGCAGUGGGGAAUAUUGGACAAUGGGCGAAAGCCUGAUCCAGCCAUGCCGCGUGUGUGAAGAAGGUCUUCGGAUUGUAAAGCACUUUAAGUUGGGAGGAAGGGCAGUAAGUUAAUACCUUGCUGUUUUGACGUUACCAACAGAAUAAGCACCGGCUAACUUCGUG